CCUACGUGAGGCAGCAGUGGGGGAUAUUGGACAAUGGGGGGAACCCUGAUCCAGCGACGCCGCGUGAGUGAAGAAGUAUCUCGGUAUGUAAAGCUCUAUCAGCAGGGAAGAAGAAAUGACGGUACCUGAGUAAGAAGCCCCGGCUAACUACGUGCCAGCAGCCGCGGUAAUACGUAGGGGGCAAGCGUUAUCCGGAAUUACUGGGUGUAAAGGGAGCGUAGACGGUGAUGUAAGUCUGGAGUGAAAGCCCGCGGCCCAACCGCGGGACUGCAUUGGGAACUACCGGGCUGGAGUGCCGGAGAGGUAGGCGGAAUUCCUAGUGUAGCGGUGAAAUGCGUAGAUAUUAGGAGGAACACCAGUGGCGAAGGCGGCCUACUGGACGGUGACUGACGCUGAGGCUCGAAAGCGUGGGGAGCAAACAGGAUUAGAUACCCGGGUAGUC
rnacentral:rRNA from 1 species